UGUAUGAGUUGUGWUUGGGWUGCUUUUGCUGGCUGGCUCCGUGCUUGCGCAUCGAACAGCUCGCAUGCACCCCCUUUUCAAGCACACCUCGCCUGUUUUGGCGGCGGUGCGUGAUCGCGGUUCCUGUGUUGCCUACCUCUUGAAUGGUAUUCGCGUGGCCUGUCGGAUUUCGUCCAUCCAGUUCUCCUCCCAGCGGGGGGUUCUGGGGGACUUUGAAGCGAUACGUUUGUUCCACGACAGUGGCUCGUUGGCUCAACGACCGUGGCGCAUACGUGUUUGCUGUCCUCUCGGAUGCGGUCCAUGAGAUUAAAGAUGGGAAUUUCUCCCAUCCAAUCUCUCCCGUCUCGGUUGCCUUGAAAACACACUCGCCUAGGUGCUCGUUUGCCCUCCACUCGUGGCGGCGCGCGGGCACCGACGAGCGAAGUUGUUAACGGAUG
rnacentral:misc_RNA from 1 species